rnacentral:rRNA from 1 species
UACGAACGCCGGCGGCGUGCCUAACACAUGCAAGUCGAACGGGAAUGGUUCCUUCGGGAAUCUAGUACAGUGGCGCACGGGUGAGUAACGCGUAGGUGACCUACCAUUUGCUGGGGAAUAACCUCGGGAAACCGGAGCUAAUUCCGCAUAAGUCUGUCCACUCUGGUGGAUAGGGAAAGGGGGCCUCUCCUUGUAAGCUCUCGGCGAAUGAUGGGCCUGCGUACCAUUAGCUAGUUGGUAGGGUAACGGCCUACCAAGGCAACGAUGGUUAGCUGGUCUGAGGGGAUGAUCAGCCACACUGGCACUGGAACACGGGCCAGACUCCUACGGGAGGCAGCAGUGGGGAAUAUUGCGCAAUGGGCGAAAGCCUGACGCAGCAACGCCGCGUGGGCGAUGAAGGCCUUCGGGUUGUAAAGCCCUGUCAGAAAAGGCGAAACCUCGUCUGGAGUAAUACCCAGGCGAGUUGACGGUAUUUUCAGAGGAAGCACCGGCUAACUCCGUGCCAGCCGCCGCCGUAA